GGGGGGACAGGGUGACAGGUGGUGCAUGGUUGUCGUCAGCUCGUGUCGUGAGAUGUUGGGUUAAGUCCCGCAACGAGCGCAACCCUCGACCUUAGUUGCCAGCAUUCAGUUGGGCACUCUAAGGGUGACUGCCGGCUAAAAGUCGGAGGAAGGUGGGGAUGACGUCAAAUCAUCAUGCCCCUUAUGACCUGGGCUACACACGUGCUACAAUGGGCGGUACAAAGGGUCGCGAACCCGCGAGGGGGAGCCAAUCCCAAAAAGCCGCUCUCAGUUCGGAUUGCAGGCUGCAACUCGCCUGCAUGAAGCCGGAAUCGCUAGUAAUCGCGGAUCAGCAUGCCGCGGUGAAUACGUUCCCGGGCCUU
rnacentral:rRNA from 1 species